rnacentral:rRNA from 1 species
GACGAACGCUGGCGGCGUGCUUAAUACAUGCAAGUCAACUUGACUUUAGAUAGCAAUAUCGAAAAGUAGGGUGGCGCACGGGUGCGUAACGCGUAGGUAAUCUGCCCUGAGGUCUGACAUAACCCGUCGAAAGGCGGGCUAACAUCAGAUGAUAUAUAAUCACGACAUCGUGGAAAAUAUCAAAUCUUCGGAGCCUUGGGAUGAGCCUGCGUCUGAUUAGGUAGUUGGCGGAGUAAUAGCCCACCAAGCCUACGAUCAGUAGCUGGUCUGAGAGGAUGAUCAGCCACACUGGAACUGAGACACGGUCCAGACUCCUACGGGAGGCAGCAGUAAGGAAUAUUGCUCAACGGGGGAAACCCUGAAGCAGCAACGCCGCGUGAAGGAUGAAAUACUUUUGUAUGUAAACUUCUGUAAGAUGGGAAAAAUAUUCUCCUCGGAGAAUUGAUUGUACCAUCAGAGUAAGCCCCGGCUAACUACGUAGCC